rnacentral:piRNA from 1 species
UCCUAUGACUUGAUCUUACCACUACCAC